UUUCCUUAGUAUUAUUUAAGAUAGCAAUUAUCGGUAUCGCAGAGGCUGGAUCCUCAUACUUGUACAAUCAACAACAUAUCUUCAUGGAAGUCUCUGGCAUUUUAUUCAAUUGUUCUGUUGACCGUUGUAAUAGUUCUUACGCAUAAAUUUUCUUAGUGGAAAUACUCAACAUCAAUCAAGAGUGUGAAUAUACACAAAUCUCACAUCUCAAGAGAGAAACAACACUAGCACACAUCUAGCUUAUAUCGUUGAUCUGAUGGUGAUGAUUGCAUUUACAAAAUUGUGGCCUUAAUUUUUUGAGAAUUAGAUUAUAUAUGUAUGUAUUAUGUUGCAUCUUUGCUGGCGUUCUUAUUUGAUUUAUCAUCAUUUUAUUUAUUUUCUGGUUAUUUAUAUGAUUGUAUAUUUGUUUGUAUCAUUUGUACCUAGAUUACUCAUCGUGAAAAUGUUAUGGUAGAUUCAAGAUUUAUUUUGUGGGUUCAAUAACCAAGGUUAUUUCAUUAAAUCCGCUAUACUUUUAAAGUUAUGAGUUCAUAUCUACUAUUUGUUGUAAUUUUAAUAGAUUUUCAUUACAUAAAAGUAUUAUGUUUUCGAUGAAGCCGAUAUCAUAACGUUAUUUGCCGUGGCCUUUGUAUCAUUUUGUAGGUAAUGUUUCAAUUUAUUUUUAUUUUUCAAUGUAAUUAUUCUUUUAUUACAAAGAAUUACACAUAGACUUUAAAAGCUCUACAAGUUGCUUGGAUGAACAGUUUAUUUUCUCCACAAAAAUAUCAUCAAGGAAUUUUUCAAG
rnacentral:lncRNA from 1 species